ACUCUGCAUUUGGACGUGUAAGAUAGUAGAGAAGGGUCUCUACAAUUUAAGUAGCAGAGGGAUAAGACAGCGCACCUUUCACUUGAGCUUCAACAUGGGAAAGGGAAACGAAGACCCCUAUCUCCACUGCUCCUCCAUCCAAUGUUCCACUGACCAGCCCCCUUUCCAACAGAUCUCCUUUACAGGAAAGGGCUCAGAUGAGAAGAAACCGUUCAAAGGAAAAGGCAAGACCGCCUCUUCCCAUUCCAGUGAGAAGCACAUACAAAGGCAAGUAGGAUUAGAGCCAAAUCCAAAAAUCCAAAAGAGGAGGAGAAGUCCCAGGAGACCAAGCCCAAAGCCAGAAACAGCACUGCUAGAUUAGGGAACUGUCCAGAAGAGGAACGCAGCUUGAUGUUAAAAAAAAAAAAAAAAUCAAAGUCCUCCACUGCUGUGCACUACAGUGAAAUCCAGGAGAUCUGUGAUGCCCACCAUAAGGGACAUUCGAGGGCUUGCACUGGGCACAGCCAGUGGCACAGGUCUGGGGCCCUAGGAUUCCAAUGACCGGCACUUGGAAAAAGCU
rnacentral:lncRNA from 1 species